ACAACAUCAACCUCGGGCUCUCCUGCCCCAGCAUGUCCUGGUGACACACUGCCACCACGGCCUGUGGGGCUGCACGAGUCCUGCCUGUGCCGUUAGCAUCCUCUCCCUUGGAGUGGCUCUGUGAUGAUCUGUGCAGCUCAGAUGGGAUGGCUGCGUUCCCGGGGAAAUAAGCCUAUCUGCAUUAGCCAGCACUCGGAUCCAGGAGGCAUUGUAAAAGGAUCAGCAUCAACCUGUGAGAGUCAACAGAGAGAGACUUCAGUGGACUAAUUAGCCAACUGGAAGAUGCCUGUGUCCCUUACUGAUGACGGAGCAUGUGCAGCAUGAUCAGACCCUGAAAUAGUGUUGAUAUAAAGAAGUAGAAGAACAGUUUGAUAUGAAUGAUCUGCAGAGAGUCUGGAAUGGUGAACAGUUUCAGCAGAAAGAGAGAGGUCAGCGUGCAUGAGCCCUGCCUCCACCUGCUCCAGAUCAACCCACUCACCUUCUACCUCUACAGACCUCCCUCACCAGGCCUUGCCUGAUCCAUUUGGAGUCUGCAACAACCUGCUGGUAUCUCUUUUUCCAGGCUCCAGAUGCUCCUGUAGCUCUGGUCCCAGAGCCCACUGCCAGCAUCCAUGCCCGGGCUCCCUACCCCAUGCCCACCCUACUGAGUGCGUCUCAUGGUCCUUGGGCCUGUCUCCAUGGCAGGCUCACCAUGAGGGGUAUGGAUACUUGCAUAUCUCCUCUUCAAGGCAAAUUACAGCAAAACAGGCUUUAGGCAGGCUGCCAGGGCUGCAUAUUUUGCACUCUUCACUCUGGGUUUAUUGCUGAUCAAAGCCGGUUGUCAGUACAACAGCCUUCACAAGAUCGAAGUGUCAUUUGGGAAAGGAAGUGUGUGUUUUUAACUCAAACCAAAGGCUGACAAAGAUGGCCUCUCAGGGUUGGACACAGCUGUUUCGCUGGGGCUUAGUCCUUUACGCUGUCCUGCAGAAGUCAGGGGGCCUGGAGUUCCUCAUUCACUACUGCUGUAUCAGCACUGAAGCCUGGAGGAGAGCACCUCUGGUCUCCCCAGGCCACAGUUCCUGACAGAAAAACUACAAGUGGUGUGGGGAGACAACACACGGCUGCACCUCAGCACUGCUGGUGCAGCGUGAAGGCUGAGCUACCAGUGUGUUACACAGGACCCAUGUUCGUGCUCGGUGUGAUUUGGGUCUGGCACCAGGACCCUGACAGAGCCUCACCGCCUGGUCCAGCUACAGCCUGGGUUUGGCUUGCUCAGGUUGCACAUCCCAGUUCCCAAAGAGAAGAGAGGCUGCUUGGAAAGGGACAGUGGCCAAAGUAUAAGAACACCUAAUAGUCUCAAAAAUGGUCGUGUUUCAAAUCUGCCUGAUGUUCCCACCGUCGGUUAUAUAAACACAGCAGCGUUGUUAUUGUAGGGCAGGCUAUUUUAAGACAGACAGACUAACAGAAUUGGAUUUCAACGUUCAGAGUCUUAUUUUUCCCAUUGCAUAUGUUA